CGAGCAGGUGGUCAUGUAAGUUGAAUGUGAAAUCUCCAGGCUCAACUUGGAAACUGCAUUCAAAACUGCAUGACUUGAGUUUGGGAGAGGAGAAUGGAAUUUCAGGUGUAGGGGUGAAAUCUGUAGAUAUCUGAAAGAACACCAUUGGCGAAGGCGAUUCUCUGGACCAAAACUGACACUGAGCCGCGAAGCUAGGGAGCGAACA
rnacentral:rRNA from 1 species